UACAGAGGUCUCAAGCGUUGUUCGGAUUCAUUGGGCGUAAAGGGUGCGUAGGCGGCGUGGUAAGUCCGCUGUGAAAGUCGGGGGCUCAACCCUCGAAUGCCGGUGGAUACUGUCGGGCUAGAGUGCGGAAGAGGCGAGUGGAAUUCCUGGUGUAGCGGUGAAAUGCGCAGAUAUCAGGAGGAACACCAAUUGCGAAGGCAGCUCGCUGGGACGUAACUGACGCUGAGACGCGAAAGCGUGGGGAGCAAACAGG
rnacentral:rRNA from 1 species